rnacentral:rRNA from 1 species
CAGCACCUCAAGUGGUCAGGAUGAUUAUUGGGCCUAAAGCAUCCGUAGCCGGCUCUGUAAGUUUUCGGUUAAAUCUGUACGCUCAACGUACAGGCUGCCGGGAAUACUGCAGCGCUAGGGAGUGGGAGAGGUAGACGGUACUCGGUAGGAAGGGGUAAAAUCCUUUGAUCUAUUGAUGACCACCUGUGGCGAAGGCGGUCUACCAGAACACGUCCGACGGUGAGGGAUGAAAGCUGGGGGAGCAAACCGGAUUAGAUACCCGAGUAGUC